GAUCUGGCUCAGGACGAACGCUGGCGGCGUGCUUAACACAUGCAAGUCGAACGAGAAUCUGUGGAUCGAGGAUUCGUCCAAGUGAAGCAGAGGACAGUGGCGGACGGGUGAGUAACGCGUGAGGAACCUGCCUUUCAGAGGGGGACAACAGUUGGAAACGACUGCUAAUACCGCAUGAUACAUUUGGGUGGCAUCAUCUGAAUGUCAAAGAUUUAUCGCUGAAAGA
rnacentral:rRNA from 1 species